rnacentral:rRNA from 1 species
CAGGCCUAACACAUGCAAGUCGAACGGAAACGAUGCUAGCUUGCUAGCAGGCGUCGAGUGGCGGACGGGUGAGUAACACGUGGGAAUCUGCCUAUUAGUGGGGGAUAAGCUGGGGAAACCCAGUCUAAUACCGCAUACGCACUACGGUGGAAAGGGGCCCUCUCCUUGGAAGGUCUCGCUAAUAGAUGAGCCCGCGUCGGAUUAGCUAGUUGGUGGGGUAAAGGCCCACCAAGGCGACGAUCCGUAGCUGGUCUGAGAGGAUGAUCAGCCACACUGGGACUGAGACACGGCCCAGACUCCUACGGGAGGCAGCAGUAGGGAAUAUUGGACAAUGGAGGAAACUCUGAUCCAGCCAUGCCGCGUGUGUGAAGAAGGCCCUAGGGUUGUAAAGCACUUUCAGUAGGGAGGAAACGCCUACGGUUAAUACCCGUUGGCUAUGACGUUACCUACAGAAGAAGCACCGGCUAAUUUCGUGCCAGCAGCCGCGGUAAUACGAAAGGUGCAAGCGUUAAUCGGAAUUACUGGGCGUAAAGCGUACGUAGGCGGUUGAUUAAGCAGGAUGUGAAAGCCCCGAGCUCAACUUGGGAACUGCAUCCUGAACUGGUCAACUAGAGUACAGCAGAGGAGAGUGGAAUUUCUCGUGUAGCGG